GACGAACCGUGCGAACGUUAUUCGGAAUCAUUGGGCUUAAAGGGCGCGUAGGCGGGCGACCGCGUCGAGUGCUGAAAGCCCCCGGCUCAACCGGGGAAUGGGCCUCGAAACGGGUCGCCUGGAGGCGAGGAGGGGGACCUGGAACUUCCGGUGGAGCGGUGAAAUGCGUUGAGAUCGGAAGGAACGCCAAUGGCGAAAGCAAGGUCCUGGACUCGUACUGACGCUGAGGCGCGAAAGCCAGGGGAGCGAACGGG
rnacentral:rRNA from 1 species